UACGAGGGGGGCAAGCGUUGUUCGGAAUCACUGGGCGUAAAGGGAGCGUAGGCGGGUUCUUAAGUAAGGUGUUUAAUCCCGGGGCCCAACCCCGGACCGGCACUUUAAACUGGGAAUCUUGAAUAGUGGAGAGGUCGGUGGAAUUGGGGGUGUAGCGGUGGAAUGCGUAGAUAUCGAGAGGAACACCUGCGGCGAAGGCGGGUUGCUGGGCUGACACUGACGCUGAGGCGCGAAAGCUAGGGGAGCGAACGGG
rnacentral:rRNA from 1 species